GACGAACGCUGGCGGCGUGCCUAAUACAUGCAAGUUGAGCGCUGAAGGUUGGUACUUGUACCAACUGGAUGAGCAGCGAACGGGUGAGUAACGCGUGGGGAAUCUGCCUUUGAGCGGGGGACAACAUUUGGAAACGAAUGCUAAUACCGCAUAAAAACUUUAAACACAAGUUUUAAGUUUGAAAGAUGCAAUUGCAUCACUCAAAGAUGAUCCCGCGUUGUAUUAGCUAGUUGGUGAGGUAAAGGCUCACCAAGGCGAUGAUACAUAGCCGACCUGAGAGGGUGGUCGGCCACAUUGGGACUGGGACACGGCCCAAACUCCUACGGGAGGCAGCAGUAGGGAAUCUUCGGCGAUGGACGAAAGUCUGACCGAGCAACGCCGCGUGAGUGAAGAAGGUUUUCGGAUCGUAAAACUCUGUUGGUAGAGAAGAACGUUGGUGAGAGUGGAAAGCUCAUCAAGUGACGGUAACUACCCAGAAAGGGACGGCUAACUACGUG
rnacentral:rRNA from 1 species